GCCGGGCGUGGUGGUGCGCGCCUGUAGUCCCAGCUACUCGGAGGCUGAGGUGGGAGAAUGGCGUGAACCCGGGAGGAGUGAGCCGAGAUUGCGCCACUGCACUCCAGCCUGGGUGACACAGCCAGACUCCGUCUCAA
ensembl:misc_RNA Metazoa_SRP Metazoan signal recognition particle RNA